rnacentral:misc_RNA from 1 species
AACAUACCUAAACGUUGCUUCCGGGGGAACCGAAGGGCCCGGAAACGGGCCGCCCCCCCCCAAGGACCCCACUCUGUUUYUAUAAUGUGUCUUCUGAAUAAAACAAGCAAAUAAAUUAAAACUUUCAACAACGGAUCUCUUGGCUCUGGCAUCGAUGAAGAACGCAGCGAAAUGCGAUAAGUAAUGUGAAUUGCAGAAUUCAGUGAAUCAUCGAAUCUUUGAACGCACAUUGCGCCCGCCAGUAUUCUGGCGGGCAUGCCUGUUCGAGCGUCAUUACAACCCUCAGGCCCCCGGGCCUGGCGUUGGGGAUCGGCAGAAGCCCCCUGUGGGCACACGCCGUCCCUCAAAUACAGUGGCGGUCCCGCCGCAGCUUCCAUUGCGUAGUAGCUAACACCUCGCAACUGGAGAGCGGCGCGGCCAUGCCGUAAAACACCCAACUUCUGAA